GAACGGUUGGCUCAGUUGGUUAGAGCACCAGCACGGGACGCUGGAGGUCGUGGGAUCGAGUCCCGCAUCGUUCA